rnacentral:tRNA from 1 species
GGGGAUGAAGCUUAGUGGUACAGUGCUUGCCUAUCAUGCGUAAAGCCCUGGGUUCCAUUCCCAGUACCACCA